rnacentral:rRNA from 1 species
CUGGCGGCGUGCCUAAUACAUGCAAGUCGAACGGUCUUUCUAUGGAAGCUUGCUCCACUGAGAAGAUAGUGGCGAACGGGUGAGUAACACGUGGGUAACCUGCCCAUAAGAGGGGGAUAACAUCCGGAAACGGGUGCUAAUACCGCAUAGUUUUCUUGAUCGCAUGAUCGGGAAAGGAAAGACGGCCUUUGUGCUGUCGCUUAUGGAUGGACCCGCGGCGUAUUAGUUAGUUGGUGAGGUAAUGGCUCACCAAGACGAUGAUACGUAGCCGACCUGAGAGGGUGAUCGGCCACAUUGGGACUGAGACACGGCCCAAACUCCUACGGGAGGCAGCAGUAGGGAAUCUUCCGCAAUGGACGAAAGUCUGACGGAGCAACGCCGCGUGAGUGAAGAAAGGUUUUCGGAUCGUAAAACUCUGUUGUCAGAGAAGAACAAGUUGGAGAGUAACUGCUCCAGCCUUGACGGUAUCUGACCAGAAAGCCACGGCUAACUACGUGCCAGCCGCAGC